AGCAACGCCAUUCACUAUAACCAUAAAGCCUCAAGAAAACCAUCACACUCCAUAGUAUCACUUAUAACAGCCUGUUAUUCAUAUCCCGCAAGGAUAAAUCCUACGCACAACACAGAAAAGUUUACCCCUUAUCCCUUUUGCAUCAUGGAGAAGCAACAUAUAAUUAACAAACUUAAGCUCCCGAAUAAUUAUGAGCUACUAGACCUUAAGAAUCAAUGUAUCACAAUUGAUAUAGUAACUUCUAGUAGGAGUAACAAGCCUUCCAUAUAAUUAGAUAGCUGGUUUUCCGUCAAAAAGCAUCAAAGUGCUGCCCUAUAUUGGACACUAUUUACAAACCAGAAUAGGUCUAAAUCUCCUGAGGAUUAGCUCGGAAGAAAGAUAAAAAUAUAGAAACUAAAUUCACCUUAAAAGUAGGCUUAAAAACAGCCACCAAACAACGUUCUAGUUAACAACUAUAUCGCUAAAGUAAUAUCAAACCUAAAUUUUUCUUAAUAGAGGAACCUAACGCAACACUCACUUCGUUAAUGCACCGGCAUUCUAUUAGUAUUCAACAACCAGCUUUCUACAAAAUUUAAAAACUGAAACCAAAAAACACUACACCACAAACCUAUAUAAAGCGAACUCGGCAAUUACGUUCUUUGCCUGUUUACCAAAAACAUCGUCUUCUGAUCACAAGCAUAGAAGAUAAUGCCUGCCCAGUGAAAUUUAAACGGCCGCGUUAGCGUGAGCGUGCUAAGGUAGCGUAAUAAAUAGCCUCUUAAUUGGAGGCCAGUGAAAGGCAAGACUAGGAACACCUGUGCUCUUUAUACCAAAAAAAUUUUUCAUCUAAGUGAAAAGACUUAGAUACUAAAGGAAGACGAAAAGACCCCGCGGAACUUCAUCUUUUCUUACACUACUGCCCAGUAGCACAAAGAUGUAAAAGAUUUGAUUGGGGCAAUCUCGGAACUACCCAAGCUUCCGAUUCCUACUAAAACACAUCUAAAAUUUGGUACAGACAAAACAGCAGUUACCCCGGGGAUAACAGCGUCAUCCAACUUAAGAGUACACAUCGAAAGUUGGGUUUGCGACCUCGAUGUUGGCUUAAGGUUAUCCACAUUAGUGCAACCGCUAUGAAAGGACAGUCUGUUCGACUUAUAUACCCUUACACGAGCUGAGUUAAGACCGGCGCAAGCUAGGUUGGUUUCUAUCUCCUUUAUUAACACCCUCCUUGAUUGUACGAAAGGACCCCAAGGGGUGCACCCAAUCUAAGCACACAAAAUAAACCUCAUACCAUCUCCUUAAGUGACCCCA
rnacentral:rRNA from 1 species